GCCCUUGUGGCGCAGUGGUAGCGCGCUCUGCUCUUUCAUCAUGAUGCCAAUACGUCAUUCCAGGGGCAGUGUCAGAGAGGUCGCAGGUUCAAUUCCUGCCAUGGGCU